UACGGAGGGAUGCGAGCGUUAUCCGGAAUCAUUGGGUUUAAAGGGUGCGUAGGCUGGUAUUUAAGUCAGUGGUGAAAUUUUCGUGCUUAACAUGAGAGCUGCCAUUGAUACUGGGUACCUAGAGUGUGAUUUGAUGUGGGCGGAAUGUGUUGUGUAGCGGUGAAAUGCUUAGAUAUGACACAGAACACCGAUAGCGAAGGCAGCUCACAAAGUUACAACUGACGCUGAUGCACGAAAGCGUGGGGAUCGAAACAGG
rnacentral:rRNA from 1 species